AUGCCUCCUCAGAGCCUGCUCUGUGUGUUGGUGGCCUUGGCUUUCUCUGGGUGUAAUGUGGCCCAGAAAGUGACUCAGAUCCGGUCAACAGCAAGCAGGCAGUGGGGAGAAGAAAUCACCCUGGACUGUUCAUAUGAGACAAGUCAGAGCUUGUACCAUCUUUUCUGGUACAAACAGCUUCUUAGUGGAGAGAUGGUUUUCAUUAUUCACCAAUUUUCUUUUGAUUCUCGGAACCAGAAGAGCAGCCGCUAUUCUACCGUCUUCCAGAAAUCAUUCAAGUCCAUCAGUCUUGUCAUUUCAGGCUUACAGCCAGAGGAUUCAGGAAAGUAUUACUGUGCUCUCUGGGAAAUAGACACAGUGUUUGAAGUGACGGCACAAGUUAAACAAAAACUUGGGCUCCUUAAGCAGAGCCCCCCUGAUGGAGAGAGCCCAGCUGAGAAGCGCAUCUGCACAUCCUGA